UACGUAGGGUGCAAGCGUUGUCCGGAUUUAUUGGGCGUAAGGAGCGUGUAGGCGGCCAGGUAGGUCUGCUGUGAAAAACUCGAGGCUCAACCUCGAGACGUCGGCGGAAACCAUCUGGCUAGAGUCCGGCAGAGGGGGAUGGAAUUCCGCGUGUAGCAGUGAAAUGCGUAGAUAUGCGGAGGAACACCGAUGGCGAAGGCAGUCCCCUGGGCCUGUACGUGGACGCUCAUGCACGAAAGCGUGGGGAGCAAACAGG
rnacentral:rRNA from 1 species